UACGUAGGGGGCAAGCGUUGUCCGGAUUUAUUGGGCGUAAAGAGCGUGUAGGCGGCCAUACAGGUCUGCUGUGAAAACUCGAGGCUCAACCUCGAGCUGUCGGUGGAAACCGUGUGGCUAGAGUCCGGAAGAGGAGAGUGGAAUUCCCGGUGUAGCGGUGAAAUGCGCAGAUAUCGGGAAGAACACCCGUGGCCAAGGCGGCUCUCUAGUACGGUACUGACGCUGAGACGCGAAAGCGUGGGGAGCGAACAGG
rnacentral:rRNA from 1 species